CGAGGGCCGCCUGCCGCCGCUCGAGGCCCGGUGAGCCCCGCGGGGUGUCCCCGCGCUUAGGGCAGCGGGGCUGCCUGCCGUCGGCCCGGCUGGCGGCGUUGCGUGUCCCCGGGAGGACGAGGCGCCCCGGGGGACGGCCGCUCGGCCCCUCGCGAAGCACGGCGCCGACCCGCCGGACCUGGCGGCGGCGGGAGCUGCCCAGACGCCGGCCCGAAGUCGCGCCUGGAACCAGCGGGGCUUCACGCUUCAGGUCACCGAACUUCAGCCAAGUGUUACCGGAGCCGUACGGUACCCGUCCCGGCGCAGCGACUGAUCCCCGCCUUCCCUAAAGUACGGGACGUUUUGGGUACCGCCCGUGCUGGGAGAUGUGCCCCCAGUAAGGCAGGCGCGGAGCGUUGCUCGCUUCACACCCUGGGCUCCGCCACGUCUUGCUGGGGAGCAGCAUCGCGUCGCCCCUACUGAGGCGAUUCGUUGUACGCAUCCUCCUCUGGUGCUGCUAUCCCCAAAUCUGUUAGUACCAGUCCCAUUCUGGAUCACACAGUUGGUUACAGACACUUUGGAAGUGGGAAAGGUCACGGACUCUUACGCUCCGUCUGACAUCGCGGACUAUCUAAAAGAUGCUGUAUUUUUUACGGAAUUAAAAAGCAAUAUUUAAUACGGCUGUAUUGCCCAAGUGGCCGGAACCAGUAAUACCAAUAGCAUGCUAAAAAGGCAUGGCAUGACCUCCAGUUCACGGGCUAUCUCUGAUUAUCUACUUAAUGGAUAUACAAACACGGGAAGACAUCCAACCCUUGCUACCAAAACACAAGGAGAGUAACAGAAUGUAAACACAAAGCUGCUAAUGUACACACUGACACAUGAAUGACAUUUACAUUGUUCAGAAUAAAAUCCAGGGUAUCCUUGAAUAAUGAGCAACAGAAAAAAUGCUACAGCAAAGUGACAGGUGAACAAAUCACAGGUCUUGAGUUUCUCUACCCUGCCUCUCUUGGUAACGUCAUCUCCAGUACCAUCUGCUACCUACCAGACAAACAGACCAACCACAUAAUGAGGUACCAGCUUCCACCCAGCUACCGUGACUAAAUCAGAACAAAAGAUUCAACGCCUCCUUCAACAAAGGAACACAAGUCUAAGCUGUCUUUGCUAAUUGCUGGGUUUCAGGUUGUCUGUUACAGAUUUUAAGUGAGCUACAAACUUCCAUCAGAUACUUAGAGCUGUUGGACAAAGGUACUAAGAAUGAAAGAUAAAUGGAAGCAAAAGGCAAUGAUGUUGUUCUCCUAAAAUGUGAGACAGUUUGCUUCUUGUCAGCAAGUGGAGCUCAGCUCAGCUCUUCAUCUCCCUGAGCUGCUGGAGACAGACUAGCAUGCUUCAGAUUUACUUGCUCGAUAGACUGACUUGAAAUGAUUCUGGGAAAUGAUUGCUCCAUUCAUAUAUCACUUUUUGCGCUUCUUGUAUACCAAGUGAGACACUUUGGGUGAUUUUAAAGUGAAAGAAAAUAAUAAAAUAAGCUUAUUAACAAACACCAUUCAGUUUAAAAAUAGGACAUUUCUUGUCACAGAUGCUGUCCCCAAACUGGAAAUGAGCGUUUUAAUAAAUAUGUUUUUAGUAUUCCAGGGUAAGAAAUGUUUAGUAUCUGUUUCUUUUUCUAAAUGAUUGCUGUCCUUACCCAGUAAGUGCAAAAAUGGUGCGUGAGUCACAGGAAAUUUAAGUGGUUUGUCUUGGGAAGAUUUGGUGGUAUGCAUUUUUUUGACGCACAUAGAGCUGUUGAAUGAAUAAUUGGCAACCUAUUUAAUGUCCUUUGCUUUAAAGCUGUCGAGUACAUUUGCUGUUUAAAAAAUGUCUUUCAAAGCUGUUAAAUAUGUAACAAAAAGAGGUUGCUAUCACCAUUCUGACAUGAACAAAGCCAUACAGUGAGCUGCCCGAGGUACCUCCAGCAUGGUAUUAAUUACAAACGCAAUAAAAAAAGAAAAUUCGCAAAGUU